rnacentral:rRNA from 1 species
UACGUAGGGGGCAAGCGUUGUCCGGAAUCAUUGGGCGUAAAGCGCAUGUAGGCGGCUCGGUAAGUCUGCUGUGAAAGUCCAGGGCUCAACCCUGGGAUGCCGGUGGAUACUGUCGAGCUCGAGUCCGGAAGAGGCGAGUGGAAUUCCUGGUGUAGCGGUGAAAUGCGCAGAUAUCAGGAGGAACACCAAUGGCGAAGGCAGCUCGCUGGGACGUGACUGACGCUGAGACGCGAAAGCGUGGGGAGCAAACAGG